GUGGAGCAUGUGGCUUAAUUUGACUCAACGCGGGGAAUCUUACUAGGUCCGGACCGAGUCUAUGAACGUCGUACCGUCGGGUGCUACGUGAUUACUGGAUGAGUGGUGCAUGGCCGUUCUUAGUUCGUGGUGUUAAUUGUCUACUUAAUUGUUAUCGUUCCCGUAUCUCACGGUACGGAGCGCAUAACGAACGAGAUCGAGACCCGUGGUUACUACGUGGAUUGCGUAUCACUCAACGGUACGAUCGAAAGACUCGGCAAUAACAGGUCUGUGAUGCCCUCAGAUGUUCUAGGCUGCACACGUGCUACAUUGUGAGUUGUAGUAUAUUGUGUAUGCGUAGAUAUGUCUAAGAUCCCCCGCACCGAGUCAAUUACUCACGUGGUUGGACUCACCGAUUGUAAUAAUUAUUCGGUAUACUAA
rnacentral:rRNA from 1 species